UCGCAGGCUGUGCCAAGCGGACGCGAUGGGGAUGGAGAACAUCAGGGUUUUUCCGCUUUCACCUUUUGGCCAACGAAAAGGCAGUCGAGCUUCUGACCCAUCCAGCCC
rnacentral:sRNA from 1 species